rnacentral:rRNA from 1 species
AGUCUGCAACCCGACUACAUGAAGCUGGAAUCGCUAGUAAUCGCGGAUCAGAAUGCCGCGGUGAAUACGUUCCCGGGUCUUGUACACACCGCCCGUCACACCAUGGGAGUCGGAAAUGCCCGAAGUCUGUGACCCCAACCGCGAGGAGGGAGCAGCCGAAGGCAGGUCGGAUGACUGGGGUGAAGUCGUAACAAGGUAAC